CAAACCCCCCCCCCAUCCCUGCUUAGUACGCACCCAUUGUUUCCUCGGCGGGCCCGCCCGCCGCAGGACCCCUUCUAGAAACGCUUUUGCAAACCACGCAGUCGUUCGUCUGAGCGGAGUUUUUACACAACGCAAUCAAAUCAAAACUUUCAACAACGGAUCUCUUGGUUCUGGCAUCGAUGAAGAACGCAGCGAAAUGCGAUAAGUAGUGUGAAUUGCAGAAUUCAGUGAAUCAUCGAAUCUUUGAACGCACAUUGCGCCCUUUGGCAUUCCGAAGGGCAUGCCUGUUCGAGCGUCAUUGCAACCCCUCCAGCAGCCUUGCUGGGCGUUGGGCGUCUUUUGUGGCUGCGGCCACUCGCCUGAAAAGCAUCGGCGCCGGCGCGUCGGCCCUGCGCGUAGCACAUUGUUCGCGCCUGGGACCCCGCCGCGGCGGCCGCCGUCAACGCACACAGCAGCACCGCUCGCGGUGCCUGCUUCCAAUGACUUGACCUCGGAUCAGGUAGGGAUACCCGCUGA
rnacentral:rRNA from 1 species